GACGAACGCUGGCGGCGUGCUUAACACAUGCAAGUCGCACGGGACCCGCAAGGGUUCAGUGGCAAACGGGUGCGUAACACGUGAGGAACCUGUCCAACGGUGGGGGAUAGCCGGCCCAACGGCCGGGUAAUACCGCGUACGACCUUCGGGGGGCAUCCCCCGGGGGUGAAAGCAGCAAUGCGCCGAUGGAGGGCCUCGCGGCCUAUCAGCUAGUUGGUGAGGUCAUGGCUCACCAAGGCAACGACGGGUAGCUGGUCCGAGAGGAUGACCAGCCACAUUGGGACUGAGACACGGCCCAGACUCCUACGGGAGGCAGCAGUGGGGAAUCUUGCGCAAUGGGCGAAAGCCUGACGCAGCGACGCCGCGUGUGGGAUGAAGGUCUUCGGAUUGUAAACCACUGUCGGGAGGGACGAAGCUCUGACGGUACCUCCAAAGGAAGCACCGGCUAACUCUGUGCCAGCAGCCGCAGUAA
rnacentral:rRNA from 1 species